CCUACGGGGGGCUGCAGUCGAGAAUCUUCCGCAAUGGACGAAAGUCUGACGGAGCGACGCCGCGUGCAGGAUGAAGUGCUUCGGCAUGUAAACUGCUUUUAUAGGGGAGGAAGUUUAUUGACGUUACCCUAAGAAUAAGAGGUUGCUAAACUCGUGCCAGCAGCAGCGGUAAUACGAGUGCCUCAAGCGUUAUCCGGAAUCACUGGGCGUAAAGGGUGUGUAGGUGGUCAUAUUAGUCUUUUGUUAAAUUCUUCGGCUUAACCGGGGUCAAGCAA
rnacentral:rRNA from 1 species